ensembl:lncRNA
AGAUGCUCUAUUGGGUUGAGAUCUGGUGACUGUGGGGGCCAUUUCAGUACAGUGAACUCACUGUCAUGUUCAAGAAACCAAUUUGAAAUGAUUCGAGCUUUGUGACAUGGUGCAUUAUCCUGCUGGAAGUAGCCAUCAGAGGAUGGGUACAUGGUGGUCAUAAAGGGAUGGACAUGUUCAGAAACAAUGCUCAGGUAGGCCGUGGCAUUUAAACGAUGCCCAAUUGGCACUAAGGGUCCUAAUGUGUGCCAAGAAAACAUCCCCCACACCAUUACACCACCACCAGCAGCCUGCACAGUGGUAACAAGGCAUGAUGGAUCCAUGUUCUCAUUCUGUUUACGCCAAAUUCUGACUCUACCAUCUGAAUGUCUCAACAGAAAUCAAGACUCAUCAGACCAGGCAACAUUCUUCCAGUCUUCAACUGUCCAAUUCUGGAAGGAAAGUUCUCCCUCGAUGCAGUACUGACAUCUGCAUUCAAUUAACAAGCUUGUUGCAGUACUAUGGACCUAUAAAUAUUCAUGAUGUUGCUGCGCCACUCCCAGCUGAGACUGUGCCCUCAUUUGCCUUGAUAACCCUGUGGCGACUGCGCCAUCUGCUGCCUCUUCUCCCUGUUGUGGGCAGGCUUCAGCGUUCUACGUCACUGGCCUUCUGACACCACCGCCCUGUUCAUCAUACCAUCCUGCACUCCUGUCACAUUAAUUGCACACACAUGAUUCUCAUCUAGUCAUUAGUCCUGUCAUAUACAUUAUCUCACAAAAGUAAGUACAUCCCUCACAUUUUUGCAAAUAUUUGGUUAUAUCUUUUCAUGUGACAACAAUGAAGGAAUGACACUUUACUACAAUGUAAAGAAGUGAGUGUACAGCUUGUAUAACUGUGUAAAUUUGCUGUCCCCUCAAAAUAACACAACACACAGCCAUUAAUGUCUAAUCUGCUGGCAACAAAAGUGAGUACACCCCUAAGUGAAAAAUAAAGAGACCACUGCAAAAUUAUCAGUUUCUCUGGUUUUACUAUUCAUAGGUAUGUGUUUGAGUAAAAUGUUUUUUUUUUUAUUAUUCUAUAAGCUACUUACAACAUU